rnacentral:tRNA from 1 species
GCUUAAAUAGUUUAUUAAAAUAUUGAUUUGUGGUGUCAAAGAUAUAAGCUUAUUAUUUUAGGCC